rnacentral:rRNA from 1 species
AAGCUUGCGCUUGGGGAUGAGUCCGCGUCCCAUUAGCUUGUUGGCGGGGUAACGGCCCACCAAGGCUACGAUGGGUAGCUGGUCUGAGAGGAUGAUCAGCCACACUGGAACUGAAACACGGUCCAGACUCCUACGGGAGGCAGCAGUGGGGAAUAUUGCGCAAUGGGGGAAACCCUGACGCAGCGACGUCCUGUGAGGGAAGAAGGCCUUCGGGUCGUAAACCUCUGUCAGAAGGGAAGAACAUCCGGGAGUCGAACAGCCUCCCGGCCUGACGGUACCUUCAGAGGAAGCGCCGGCUAACUCCGUGCCAGCAGCCGCGGUAAUACGGAGGGCGCAAGCGUUAAUCGGAAUCACUGGGCGUAAAGCGUGCGUAGGCUGUUUGAUAAGUCAGACGUGAAAUCCCUCGGCUCAACCGGGGAACUGCGUUUGAUA